rnacentral:lncRNA from 1 species
UAUAUAUUUUGUCUAAUAUUUACCAGGUUUCAAUCAAAUUUUUUGGUUAUUUGAUGUUGGUGAAUUACUUUAACUCACUUAAUAUUUCAUACUUUAGCUGUUCAUUUAUAACUGGUUGUUGUUUUUCUUUCAUCUGAAUAAUCAGCUCUCUCUCUCUCCUACUGGUUGUUUUAAAGGAUGUAAUAAGCACUAGAACUCAAGUCAGAUUAUGGAAUAAGUUGAAAAGGUUACAGUAAGAUGUAGAACACAAGUCAGGUUAUGAAAUAAGCUGAAGAUAUCACAGUCAGCUGUAGAGCACAAGUCAGGUUACAGAAUAAGCUGAAAAGGUUAUGGUAAGUUGUAGAACACAAGUCAGGUUAGAAAAGCUGAAGAGGUCACAGUAAGCUGCAGACAACAAGUCAGAUUACAAAAGCUGAAGAGGUCACAGUAAACUGUAGAGCAACAAGUCAGGUUAUAAAAGCUAAAGAGGUUACAAAAUAAGGUGAAUAGGUCACAGUAAGCUGUAGAACACAAGUCAGGUUACAAAAGCUGAAUAGGUCACAGUAAGCUGUAGAACACAAGUCAGGUUACAGAAUAAGCUGAAGAAGUCACAAGUCAGGUUACAAAAUAAGGUGAAGAAGUCGUGGUAAGCUGUACAACACUAGUUAGGUUACAAAAACUGAAGAGGUAAGCUUAGGAUACAAAUCAGGUAACAAAAACUGAAGAGGUUACAGUAAGCUUAGGACACAAGUUAGGUUACAACAGCUGAAGAGGUCACAGUAAGCAGUAGAACAGAACUCAGUUUACAAAAUAAGCUGAAGAGGUCACGGUAAUCUGCAGAACACAAGUCAGAAUAUAAAAAAACCAAACCUUGAAAAAGUUCGACUUUUGGUAAUUGUAUAUAGGACAAAUGGAUGUGGAAAAUUAUUUGUCAGGAUUUAGCUAAUAUUGUGGAAAUGGAUAUUUUUCCAGCUAGAACUUAAUGUGUGGGCAUUGGUAGUUUUAAUGUAAUUUCUACAUAAUACUAAGUAGAUCUGUUUACUUUGCUCUAGUAUGUAGCGUUAGAGGUGGAUCAAAGAAGAAAACUUGAAACCAGCUAAUAUAUAUGUAUAUAUAUUUACUUACAUAUAUCAUAGAUCUCAGUAUAUACAUAUAUGUAUACUCUUAAAAAUAUAUUUAUACACAAGUCACUCUUUAUUUAAAACAUUAGUUUUCAGGUAGUUACUACAGUUAUUUAAAAGUUAACCCUUGACUUAAGGGUUGCUAUCAAGUAGUAUAUAUGGAGAGAGAGCUAGUACAGUGAUACUUGUUAGCAACAAAAAAAAAAAAGAUACUUUAACUGUAGGAGAUGUUGUUAUAUCCAGUUAAGUCUUUGUUACCAGAUAAUAGUUUAUAUUCAGUAGACAAUAUGCUAAUUUGUUGUAUUUGCUGAUGUUGAUUUCAGCUACUACUUGAACACUGGGCUUAAUUAUUCAGUUCUCUGUCAGUAGAAAUCAACAGUAAACUAGAUGUUGCUAAGUUUUUGAGACGUAUUUCAUAAAAUAAUUAUAUUAUCUUUUAGAUUUAUGAGGAAUGUAUUCCUACUAAUAAUUAGUUGUUAAAUCAAACAUCGUAUCAAUGAUUCCUCAUCAUUCUUGCUCAACCAGCACAAUUUACAGAUUCCAAAGGGUUACGUAUCCCUCAAACUUGUUGUGGAAGGUUCAUUUAUAGAAGAAAAUUUAUUAGUUUUAUUACAAUGAAGAGGAAAAAUAUUUUCACCCUAUGGCGUUCCUAAUUUUAUUUUCAUCCACAAUCAUACUUUAUUGUUCUCUGAAAAGUUCUGUCAUACCACGAUAGGACUAAGAACUAUCUUCAUAAGAAUCAAUUGUUUAACCCUGUAUUAUGUUCAAUAAAAAUCAGGUCAUUAACAUAAUCCGUUAUGUUUAUAAAUUGGAUACAGUGAGUGAUUUUUGCAGCUUUUGUUGUUGUUGUUCAAUAUUUGUCUAACUACGAUGGACUGCUUGAAAAGGUACUUGCAUACUUUCAAUUGUUUAAAAAGUGUUGGAAAUACACUUGACAAUAAUAAAAAUGUAUUAAAUCAUGAGUGAUACUGAGUUUGUUACAUCAGUGUUCUUACUUAUCAUUUUGUAUACUGUAGCUGACUGUCAGAGCAAGCAAAGAUGACAGUAAUUUUAGAUGGCCAUGAAGGCUCCAAUGAGCAUUACACUUGAACAAACAAUAUAUGUAAAUAUUGACUUGUAAAAGAAAAUGUCAUAACUAUAAACAAAAUAUUUGAGUAUGUGAGAGUUAUUUGGUUUUAUGGCUCUUGUUGAGUGUUUUAAGAUGAAAUUUAGAAUAUGUUGUGAUAAGUAAUAAUUUCAAAUUAUUUAGUUGUUUUUAAUUUGAAAAUUUAGAUAUUGGGAACAAAGAUUUUAAACAGUUACGAUAAAAUUACUAACUUACAUUACAAAAAUUAGACCUUCAAUUAGUUUUGUUGAAGUUUUGAUGUUAAGUUUUUUGUUGGUCAUCUUUUUGGGGUGGAGUAGGGGACACUGUAUAAUGUGACAUGAGACCUGUGAUUUUAAUUUAGCAAAAAACAUUUUAGUUGUUUAAGUUUUAGUUUUUAAAUCCUCUUAUCUUUUAAUAAGUAUUUGUUACUGACAUCAAAAGUUUGUUUUUUCUGGAUAUUUAAAUUUAAUUUGAAGAAUGAUGACAGGAAAUGUUGAGAGAAAUUUGCCCAUACAGAGAAACAAUGAAGUAUUUUAAAGAAUACUGUUAUGACUUGGAAACACUAUAAUUCCAACAAAUAUUUGAAAAAACUGGCAAAUCAGCAGUGAUGGUAAAAUAGCGCCACCUCACGGUUCUCUUUUGCACUAGACAAAUGUAUUAAAUCAGUCACCUAGUAUGCUCUAUAAUAUAGUUGAUAUAUUCGUUAUUUAUACACAUUUAAUUGAUUUAUGUGCUUAUCUUGCUUAGUAUAACUAACAUAGAAAGAAUGGGUAGUUGAUACCGCUGAUUUAAGCCAUCUUAAAAUUAUAAUUCAAGUUGUCAGUAGGCUAGAGAAUUGAUUUGAGUUUGACACAUAAACGACUUGUAGUCUGACUGAUUCUUAGUUGUUCAGACGGUUCAAUUACAGCUAUUAAGUAAUAUUAUUCAAAUUGUUAGCUUCGAACAUUGUAUUUUGAGUAUGAUUUGUUUACGGUUGUCAUGUUUUUGAAUAUUUGCUGUGUUUUGUGAAAAAGUUCAGUUCAUAGUUAUUAUAUAUGAAAAAAUAGAAUGAGUGUUAGGUUAUUUUCGUGCGAUGAUGAAAACUUUAUUUUGUUAUCAAGAGAUAAUGACAUUGAGUUGUCGCUGAGAGAUGUGGAAGCUUCCAUACACGAGGAUGGUGACUUUGUGGGAAAUACACUCAUUAAUUGUUCAUCGUUGUUCUAAUUAGUCAAAGCGUACAAGUUUAUACAUAGGUUGAACUUUGUUCUGUAGUUUGUUGCGAUUAAUAAUGGAUAUGUUUUUAUUUUUCUAUUUGCUGCUAAAUUAUUUGUUACUAAUAUUAAACGAAGCGAAAAAGUUCCAUAGAACGAGCGGAUACAUUUCCACUGUGCUUACUUAAUAUACUUAUUGCCAAGCGGUUACACAGAAAAUAUACACUAGAGGCGCUUGUAUAGCUCGACAGGUCAAUUUAUUUUGUAAUUGUGAAGAAAGAAGUUAUAAAACGUAUUGUAUGUUAUAAUGCGUAGCCACUCAUGUUGAAUCUAAGGUUAAAAAUGAAAAUUUAUAAUGUUAAGAUAUGAAAUGUUUACAAAUUACAAAAAUGAGUUCUAACACAAUUAUGCAAAUGUAAUAUAGUUAAAAGUUUACAAACAUAUUUUCCAUUGCUUCAAUUUAUGUGCCCAGUAAUUUGUUUUCAUGCCGUCCCUUUUAUGUACAAGUAAAAUGUAUUCUCGCAGAGACAUUUAUGAAUUUGAGUUGAACUUCCAGCCUAUACUUUUUUAAAAAGGGGAAUUGUGAACGUACUGUAAGUCAAAUCUAAUGAGUUCUGCUUUGAAGAUUUUUAAAGAACAAAAUGUUUGGAAUAUUUGAAAUAAAUUAUUAUGAGUUAAUAA